CCUACGGGUGGCAGCAGUGAGGAAUAUUGGUCAAUGGACGCAAGUCUGAACCAGCCAUGCCGCGUGCAGGAAGACGGCUCUAUGAGUUGUAAACUGCUUUUGUACGAGGGUAAACUCAGAUACGCGUAUCUGUCUGAAAGUAUCGUACGAAUAAGGAUCGGCUAACUCCGUGCCAGCAGCCGCGGUAAUACGGAGGAUUCAAGCGUUAUCCGGAUUUAUUGGGUUUAAAGGGUGCGUAGGCGGUCGGAUAAGUUAGCGGUGAAAGCCCGAGGCUCAACUUCGGAAUUGCCUUUGAUACUGUUCGGCUAGAGAGUAGUUGCGGUAGGCGGAAGGUAUGGUGUAGCGGUGAAAUGCUUAGAGAUCAUACAGAACACCGAUUGCGAAGGCAGCUUACCAAGCUACGUCUGACGUUGAGGCACGAAAGCGUGGGGAGCAAACAGGAUUAGAUACCCCUGUAGUC
rnacentral:rRNA from 1 species